rnacentral:rRNA from 1 species
GGUUAAGCGACUAAGCGUACACGGUGGAUGCCCUGGCAGUCAGAGGCGAUGAAGGACGUGCUAAUCUGCGAUAAGCGUCGGUAAGGUGAUAUGAACCGUUAUAACCGGCGAUUUCCGAAUGGGGAAACCCAGUGUGUUUCGACACACUAUCAUUAACUGAAUCCAUAGGUUAAUGAGGCGAACCGGGGGAACUGAAACAUCUAAGUACCCCGAGGAAAAGAAAUCAACCGAGAUUCCCCCAGUAGCGGCGAGCGAACGGGGAGCAGCCCAGAGCCUGAAUCAGUGUGUGUGUUAGUGGAAGCGUCUGGAAAGGCGCGCGAUACAGGGUGACAGCCCCGUACACAAAAAUGCACAUAUUGUGAGCUCGAUGAGUAGGGCGGGACACGUGGUAUCCUGUCUGAAUAUGGGGGGACCAUCCUCCAAGGCUAAAUACUCCUGACUGACCGAUAGUGAACCAGUACCGUGAGGGAAAGGCGAAAAGAACCCCGGCGAGGGGAGUGAAAAAGAACCUGAAACCGUGUACGUACAAGCAGUGGGAGCCUCUUUUAUGGGGUGACUGCGUACCUUUUGUAUAAUGGGUCAGCGACUUAUAUUCUGUAGCAAGGUUAACCGAAUAGGGGAGCCGAAGGGAAACCGAGUCUUAACUGGGCGUUAAGUUGCAGGGUAUAGACCCGAAACCCGGUGAUCUAGCCAUGGGCAGGUUGAAGGUUGGGUAACACUAACUGGAGGACCGAACCGACUAAUGUUGAAAAAUUAGCGGAUGACUUGUGGCUGGGGGUGAAAGGCCAAUCAAACCGGGAGAUAGCUGGUUCUCCCCGAAAGCUAUUUAGGUAGCGCCUCGUGAAUUCAUCUCCGGGGGUAGAGCACUGUUUCGGCAAGGGGGUCAUCCCGACUUACCAACCCGAUGCAAACUGCGAAUACCGGAGAAUGUUAUCACGGGAGACACACGGCGGGUGCUAACGUCCGUCGUGAAGAGGGAAACAACCCAGACCGCCAGCUAAGGUCCCAAAGUCAUGGUUAAGUGGGAAACGAU